GAAAGCCACUCUUAACCCCUGAGAGCCUGGGCUUACACCGAGAGAACACACUGUGCUCUCCUGCCCACUGGGCAGAUGAGGAGUCUGAAUCCCCAAGUAGGUCAGUGAUGAGCUGAAAGCCCCACAGCCCUCAGGGUGAGAGCCGAGACUCUCCCGAAAAUCCAGGAGUCUGAAUCCCCAUCGCCUGUGGGAGAUAGACAGGGAGUGAAUAUUUAAUAAGCGCCUAUCAUGUGCCAGGCCCUGAAAUGAUGUGCUAAGCAACGAAAUCAAUUGGCAAGCAAUCACUGAAAAAGAAAAAUGAGAGAGGAGAGAAGCCUUCCUUAAAGUAUAUGGCAUCACCUGCACUAUACAAAAUAGAACUUCUCUGUCACAUCUUAUGAGCUGAAGCCUGGGGAAGUAAAGUAUACUACACGUCUAAUGUUUCGAGGAAUUAUAAAAUGUCUCAAAGGGCCCAGAAGGGCUAUGGGCCACAGUGGGCCUGCAGUGGGCAACUGCAAGGCCUGUAGUUUUAAGCAGGCAGGCCUGCCAAAGAACUCAGUACAGAAAAUGUUAACAUGUUCAGAGACCAAUAAAGAAAAGCAAAUUAAUAAUGGUAAAAACAGCUAUCUUUUCUUGCCUACUAUUUCUAAUCCAUACCAACUCUGCAAGGAAAAUACUGUUAGAAAAUACUGCAGAUGAGAAAAACCAAGAUUCUAAGUUCAAUGACUUGCCUGACGAAGACACAUACAUGGUGAGGCGGCAGCAGGGGAUCUGAUUCCAGGAUGGGCAUAACAGGGGGGCGCAUACCCCUGGAAUAUAGGCUUUCCAAAGAGUACACAGCAGAGUUUGUUUUUAGGGAAUAUUUAGACACUUGGCUUCCCCAGGUCCUUUUUUCAUAAAAUGGAUCUACCUGAGAUUCCUUCAACACCACAAAGAAAGCCUACUUCUCAUCACCCAAGGCUUCCAUGUGUCCAGGAAGGGCCCCUUCAUCGAGGCAUCACAAAGUCACCCACACUUCCUCUCAGAGGGAGGUGCACUGCCCAUACAAUAUCGCUUUUUGUGUUUAACAAUUACCCAUCACCAUUUGUAAUACUUGUUCUUUUGAUCAAUUGUUGCAGAGAAGUCUGACGGUGUGACCAAUAAAAGAUUUGAACAAUAUAUUUUGUUAGAACGAUAUUCUGUGGGGAAGGAGAAAUGGAUUCCAAGGAGUUAAAAAGGAACAAUGUAAGCUUUCUGACUGUUGAAGACAAGCCUGUUCAUAUAUUUUGAAAACUUAUGAUAAUGGCUUAUCAAA